rnacentral:rRNA from 1 species
GACGAACGCUGGCGGCGUGCUUAACACAUGCAAGUCGAACGAAGAGCGAUGGACGCUUUCUUCUAUCAAUCUUAGUGUCGCACGGGUGAGUAACGCGUAAUCAACCUGCCCUUCAGAUGGGGACAACAGUUGGAAACGACUGCUAAUACCGCAUACGAUCCAAUCUCGGCAUCGGGACUGGAUUAAAGGUGGCCUCUAUUUAUAAGCUAUCACUGAAGGAGGGGAUUGCGUCUGAUUAGCUAGUUGGCGGGGUAACGUCCCACCAAGGCGAUGAUCAGUAGGCGGUCUGAGAGGAAGGACGGCCACAAUGGGACUGGGAAACGGCCCAGAAUGCUACGGGAAGCAGCAGGGGGGAAUCAUACGCAAUGGGGGAAAGUCUGACGGAGCAACGCCGCGUGAGUGAUGACGGCCGUCGGGUUGGAAAGGUCUGUUAAUCGGGACGAAAGGUUAUUGUGCGAAUAGUGCGAGGAUUUGACGGUACCGGAAGAGAAAGCAACGGCUAACUACGUG